GCCCUUGUAGCUCAGAUGGUUAGAGCCGUGGACUCAUAAUCCAUUGGUCGUUGGUUCAAGUCCAACCAGGGGCA
rnacentral:tRNA from 1 species